UGCAUAUUAGCUCAGUUGUUUAGAGCAUUGUUCUAAUAAUGCUAGGGCACAGGUUUGAUCCCUAUGUGGGCCA